rnacentral:rRNA from 1 species
GACGAACCGUGCGAACGUUGUUCGGAAUCACUGGGCUUAAAGGGCGCGUAGGCGGUCUCCCAAGUCCGGGGUGAAAUCUUUCGGCCUAACCGGAAAAGGGCCUUGGAUACUGGGGGACUCGAGGGGGGUAGGGGCAAGCGGAACUUCCGGUGGAGCGGUGAAAUGCGUUGAUAUCGGAAGGAACGCCGGCGGCGAAAGCGGCUGCUGGACCCCAUCUGACGCUGAGGCGCGAAAGCCAGGGGAGCGAACGGG